AAGUCGUAACAAGGUCUCCCGUUGGUGAACCAGCGGAGGGAU
rnacentral:rRNA from 1 species